rnacentral:lncRNA from 1 species
UAAUUUGGUCUAAAGUAGAACAUGUUAGCAAGGAGUUGGUGGUUAUGCUAAUAUGCGCCGACCUGGAAAGGAGAAGAGAAGGUAGUUUCAGUUUUACGUGUGUUUUUAAUUCUGAAAUCGAACCUUUUAGGGUCUAAUUUUCUCUGUGUCCUCAGCCUUUCGUCCAAUCUUUCUUUGGCUUCUCUGGCUAUUUCUCCCAGCUUCUCGUCCUGAGAAUACGCCUGGUUUGAUUUGAGCCUCGGCUGUUUUACACAAUCAAUCAUAUUCCAUCAAUCGAUUUCUGAAGC